AACGAACGCUGGCGGCAUGCCUAACACAUGCAAGUCGAACGAGACCUUCGGGUCUAGUGGCGCACGGGGGCGUAACGCGUGGGAAUCUGACCUUCGGUUUGGAAUAACUGAGAGAAAUUUCAGCUAAUACCUUAUAAUGUCUUAGGACCAAAGAUUUAUUGCCGAGGGAUGAGCCCGAGUAGGAUUAGGUCGUUGGUGGGGUAAUGGCCUCCCAAGCCGACGAUCCUUAGCUGGUCUGAGAGGAUGAUCAGCCACACUGGGACGGAGACACGGCCCAGACUCCUACGGGAGGCAGCAGUGGGGAAUAUUGGACAGCGGGCGGAAGCAUGAUGCACCUAUGCCGGGUGAGUUCUGAAGGCCUUAGGGUUGUAAAGUGUUUUUAACCGGGAUGAUAAUGACAGUACCGGGAGAAUAAGCCCCGGCUAACUCCGUG
rnacentral:rRNA from 1 species